UACCAGCACCCCGAGUGGUCGGGACGAUUAUUGGGCCUAAAGCAUCCGUAGCCGGUUCUACAAGUCUUCCGUUAAAUCCACCUGCUUAACAGAUGGGCUGCGGAGGAUACUAUGGAGCUAGGGAGGCGGGAGAGGCAAGCGGUACUUAGUGGGUAGGGGUAAAAUCCGUUGAUCCAUUGAAGACCACCAGUGGCGAAGGCGGCUUGCCAGAACGCACUCGACGG
rnacentral:rRNA from 1 species